rnacentral:lncRNA from 1 species
GGUUAUGGUUCCUUUAUUUACAAGUCUUUUGAACACCAUCCCUGUAUGAAGCGUACAUUCAAAUAUUUUUAGCAGUGAGUGAGUUUAACCGUGGAACACUGUAAACAGAUAGAGCCUUUAAAUAUUCUCUUCAUCAUCUUUUUCCCCCCUCUACAUUGCAUCUUUUAAAAUUCACUUUGGUUCUUGCAGGGAGCUGGGGACUGCUGGCCAGGCCCACCGCUUCACUGAGCAAAUCCAAGCUUGAAUUAAGUGUGGCAUAGACUUUGCCAAAUUGCCGCACUCCACAGGCAUUUCCUGCAG